UGGGAGCGUACACAGGUGCUGCAUGGCUGUCGUCAGCUCGUGUCGUAAGAUGUUGGGUUAAGUCCCGCAACGAGCCGCAACCCCUGCAUCCAGUUGCCAUCGGGCGAGCCGGGCACUCUGGAGGGACUGCCGGCGACAAGCCGGAGGAAGGUGGGGAUGACGUCAAGUCAUCAUGGCCCUUAUGUCCAGGGCGACACACGUGCUACAAUGGCCGGCACAGCGGGAAGCGGAGGGGCGACCCUGAGCGGAUCCCUUGAAAGCCGGUCCCAGUUCGGAUUGCAGUCUGCAACUCGACUGCAUGAAGUUGGAAUCGCUAGUAAUCGCGGAUCAGCCAAGCCGCGGUGAAUACGUUCCCGGGCCUU
rnacentral:rRNA from 1 species